CCCGAGCGGCUGCCUUUUGGAGAAUAAGUUUUAUCUCUUCUAAGUCGGGGUGUCCCUUGUGAAAGUUGUUGCAUGAACUUACAUUUUUCCACUAGGGCCAGUGGUCAGAAAUAUAGCACAAACAGUCUCUUGGUAGAGCCUAAGAACUACUUUCUUGCUCGCAAGUUUUUUAUGGUAAAUGGAAGUAGCCUUGAACCUCAAAAGAUUCUGAGUCCCAGAGACCGCCAUUUUCUUGACAAUAACGAGCAAAACAUCUUCUGGAAGUCGUUCAAUUGUUGCAGAAGUUUUAUU
rnacentral:lncRNA from 1 species